rnacentral:lncRNA from 1 species
AUAGGAAGUUUUUCUUGGCUCCAAUAUCAUAGAAAGGGCUGAUCUCAGAAUUCAUGGACUACUGAGUUUUCAUGUUGCAUUUUUAAAAAGAGGUGCUUUUAAAAGUGAGCGAACAUUGAUCCAGCUGAAAUGUGUUAAAAUUGAUAAAUUGGACCAUGGCAUUUAUAUUCUGCACGUUUAUUUUAUGUAUUUAAAUACCCACCAUCGGAAAAACAUUUUUAAAUUAAAAGAAAUCCUGGAAUUUAAAUUAAAGGAAGUCCUGCAAGUCUAUGGUGAAUUGUUGGAGCUUUGAAAUAUGGAAUUUGUAGAAACACACACAACUGUAGGAUAAAGAAGAAGCUUUUGUAAGCCAUCAUUUCAGCUGUCAGUGGCUCAUAUGAAGCAGCCUUGCCGACACCGUGUUCCUGCUACAAGUCCCAAGAUUUACUGCUUCCUGGGAAGAGGAAAGCACAGAUCCGUCACCUGCAGCCCAGCACACUGAGGCGGGGGCUGCAGGACGCACUCUGUGAGGAUGUUUUUGCGUCCCAGACGUGUCCUGUGGGUGUCUGAAAUGAUCCUGUCAAAGAAAUUUAGCGAUGAGCUGCAGGCGCAGAUUUUGUAGGAGGAAUUAAAACCCAAAGGAGAUGUCCCAGGGACCGGUCCUUCUUUCAAAGCUUCAGUGGCAAAUCACUUAUUUGUAGCUUAGUGUAGAGUUAGUUGCCUAGAUAGAAUAAUAUUGUAAGAUGAUUAUUAUUCUAAUUUGCUUUUUUUUUUUUUUUACUUUGGACAAAAUAUAUAUUAUAGAUGCCUUGACUCGAAUUUGUUUUGUUUCUCCUAGGCACCACAACUAUUGAAAUAUGGAGAAUAUGAAUCAAAUCUGUGUGUGUAUGUGUGUGUGUGUGUUGUAGUAACCUAUGUUAGAAAAAGUAACGUUUUAGCAUAUAUUUACUGAUUCUUAACUAAUUUAAACUCUAUGUAACAUCUACAGAUUAGGUAUACUAACUUUUUAAAAUGCCAUGAAUAUAAACUUUAUUUUCAGGGGGAUUAAAAAAAAUUCUUCUCUUCUCACCAUAUUCUUUCUCAUACCUAACAUUAAAACCCAUAUUCUGACUCCUCUUCUGACAAUCUAGUAAUACAGGGCAUCAAUCCCCAGCGGCCACCCCUUGUAGAU